AGAGCGAACGCUGGCGGCAGGCCUAACACAUGCAAGUCGAGCGCCCGUAGCAAUACGGGAGCGGCAGACGGGAUAGUAACACGUGGGAACGCGCCCUUCGGUUCGGAAUAACUCAGGGAAACUUGAGCUAAUACCGGAUACGCCCUUACGGGGAAAGAUUUAUUGCCGAAGGAACGGCCCGCGUCCGAUUAGCUAGUUGGUGAGGUAAUGGCUCACCAAGGCGACGAUCGGUAGCUGGUCUGAGAGGAUGACCAGCAUCACUGGGACUGAGACACGGCCCAGACUCCUACGAGAGGCAGCAGUGGGGAAUAUUGGACAAUGGGCGCAAGCCUGAUCCAGCCAUGCCGCGUGGAUGAUGAAGGCCUUAGGGUUGUAAAGUCCUUUUAACGGGGAAGAUAAUGACGGUACCCGUAGAAUAAGCCCCGGCUAACUUCGUGCCAGCAGCCGC
rnacentral:rRNA from 1 species